rnacentral:rRNA from 1 species
AAACGUAGGGGGCGAGCGUUGUCCGGAAUUACCGGGCGUAAAGGGCGUGUAGGCGGUCUUUUAAGUCAGAGGUGAAAACUGCCGGCUUAACCGGUAGCUUGCCUUUGAAACUAGGAGACUUGAGGGCAGGAGAGGAGAGUGGAAUUCCCGGUGUAGCGGUGAUAUGCGUAGAUAUCGGGAGGAACACCAGUGGCGAAGGCGGCUCUCUGGCCUGCUUCUGACGCUGAGGCGCGAAAGCGUGGGUAGCGAACGGGAUUAGAUACCCCGGUAGUCCACGCCGUAAACGAUGGGUGCUAGGUGUAGGAGGUAUCGACCCCUUCUGUGCCGUAGUUAACACAAUAAGCACCCCGCCUGGGGAGUACGGCCGCAAGGCUGAA